UACGGAGGGUGCAAGCGUUAUCCGGAUUCACUGGGUUUAAAGGGUGCGUAGGCGGGCUUGUAAGUCAGUGGUGAAAUCUCAGAGCUUAACUCUGAAACUGCCAUUGAUACUAUAGGUCUUGAAUUUUCUGGAGGUUAGCGGAAUAUGUCAUGUAGCGGUGAAAUGCUUAGAUAUGACAUAGAACACCGAUUGCGAAGGCAGCUGACUACGGAUGAAUUGACGCUGAUGCACGAAAGCGUGGGGAUCAAACAGG
rnacentral:rRNA from 1 species